AUUGAACGCUGGCGGCAGGCCUAACACAUGCAAGUCGAACGAGUGGCGGACGGGUGAGUAAUGUCUGGGAACCUGCCUGAUGGAGGGGGAUAACUACUGGAAACGGUAGCUAAUACCGCAUACCAUCGGAUGUGCCCAGAUGGGAUUAGCUAGUAGGUGGGGUAAAGGCUCACCUAGGCGACGAUCGCUAGCUGGUCUGAGAGGAUGACAGGCCACACUGGAACGUGGAAACGGUCCAUACUCCUACGGGAGGCAGCAGUGGGGAAUAUUGGACAAGGGGGGCAAGUCUGAUGCAGCCAGGCCGCGUGUAUGAAGAAGGCCGGCGGGUUGUAAAGUACUUUCAGCGGGGAGGCGUUACCCGCAGAAGAAGCACCGGCUAACUCCGUGCCAGCAGCCGCGGUAAUAC
rnacentral:rRNA from 1 species